UCUGGGAGUGAGGUGUGUGUGUGAGGGAUGGCAGGCUUGAACAUUACUCUGGGAGUGAGAUGUGUGGGAUGAUGGGCUUGAACAUUACCCUGGGAGUGAGGUGAGUGUCUGGGAUGGCAAGCAUGAACAUUACCCUGGGAGUGAGGUGUUCGUGAGGCACGGCAGGCUUGAACAUUACCCUGGGAGCGAGGUGUAUGUGAAGGAUGGCAGGCUUGAACAUUACCCUGGGAGUGAAGUGUUCGUGAGGGAUGGCAGGCUUGAACAUUACCCUGGGAGUGAGGUGUGCGUGAGGGAUGGCAGGCUUGAACAUACCCUGGGAGUGAGGUGUGGGUUAGGGAUGGCAGGCUUGAGCAUACCCUGGGAGUGAGGUGUGCGUGAGGGAUGGCAGGUUUGAACAUACCCUGGGAGUGAGGUGUGUGUGUUAGGGAUUACAGAUUUGAAGACCCUGCGAAUAGGUGUAUGUGUGUAUGAGAGAUGGCAGGCUCCAGCAAACAUCCUGAAAUUGAGAGGGUAUACUUACCUAUUUUGGUUGCAUGGGUCGAGCUCGGCUCCUGACCCCGCGUGUGUGUUUGUAUGUGUAAUGAUUGACAGAUUGAAACAAACGCACAAAUAAAAGAGGCAAUGAUUUAUUGGGUGGGCAAAAGAGCACACACCACUGUCUUGAAAUUAAUCACACAAAAUUGAGAAAUAGGAGUUGUCAUUCUGUAGUUGGUAUCCCAAUUGUACGACUAAAUAUCACUGUAUAAAAUUGGUACAACUUUAUACAACUCUAUCACAAGUUGUGACUGCCACUGUAGCAGUGCCAGAUGGGACAAUACUGAGUGGCAGGGUAUGUAUGUUAGCUUUGUACAACACACCUCUAAUUACCACUGUUUACUUCCACACGACACUUGCUCGUCGGUAUGGUGCCAGUGACGCUAAUUCACAAAGAACAUUUCCAGUUAUCAGUGUCAGAAUCGCACAUGACACAUCACUGCCACAACUUCACACUACAUACUAGUUACCAGUGUUACAAUUCCAAACUUCCCAUCACUAAUUGUCAAAGUAUCACUGAUGCAGCUUUAAUCCUUGUAGUGGUCGAGAAGUGGAAUGAUCUUGAAGUAGUGGAGGCAGGAUCCAUACAUAGUUUUAAGAGCAGGUAUAAUAGGGCCUAUGAAGCUAAGAGGGAGUUAAUUUGAUAAGCGUUAAGGUAACAGGAUGAGGCUAAGAUAUAUGUGAAUACAUGCAUAUUGGUUGUUAUAUAUGCUAUCCUUCUGCCCGUUGUUAAUUGUUCCUUGUUGUCUGGCUGUCCUGUAAGGGAGUCGCCAGGAGCGUACCCCUAAGACAGGUCUUUUCCAUGUUGUGACCCGUCUCUGUAGCAGGGAAUAAUGGGGUGAACAAUUUCAGUACUACCCUCGGGCGCUGAUUGAAACCCUGACAGUGGCAGCACUGUGGUGGGGUCCCUGCCAUCUCGUAGUCGGGAAGGAGGGACGUCUGCAGGAAUGUUAGUGUGUCAUUGAAGUUCUGGUGUAGGGAGCUCUAUGGCAGGGUCCAGGCAGUCAAAAUCAGUGUUUGGGCUUGGAAUUUGGGCUAAAGACGAACCGCCCAGCUAACCCACCCCAUCGGGAUUUGAAGUACACCUAAUGGUGGAGCUCUGGUGUCUGAAAUCUCUCAGAUCGUCCAAGGGCGUUGGUAUUCUCAGCCAACACAAAAAUUACAGGUCCCUAUGGGAGCCACACCCCAGCUUUAGGUCACAGUCCUUGCACUGGGGAAGCUUGGGAGAUCCUCCUGUGUCAUCUUAUCUGCUGCUCGCCGAGGAAUGUGUUGUCUGGCCACCUUUCAUUGCUUUAUAAAAGGUGGAAAGUUUCACUAUAGCUCUGUGAUUGGCUAGUCCUAAACAGCUAAUCACAGUAGUGCCGAUU